CCUACGGGGUGCUGCAGUGGGGAAUAUUGGACAAUGGGCGAAAGCCUGAUCCAGCCAUGCCGCGUGUGUGAAGAAGGCCUUCGGGUUGUAAAGCACUUUCAGUGGGGAAGAAAGCCUUGGGGCUAAUACCCUCGAGGAAGGACAUCACCCACAGAAGAAGCACCGGCUAACUCCGUGCCAGCAGCCGCGGUAAUACGGAGGGUGCGAGCGUUAAUCGGAAUUACUGGGCGUAAAGCGCGCGUAGGCGGUCUGAUAAGCCGGUUGUGAAAGCCCCGGGCUCAACCUGGGAACGGCAUCCGGAACUGUCAGGCUAGAGUGCAGGAGAGGAAGGUAGAAUUCCCGGUGUAGCGGUGAAAUGCGUAGAGAUCGGGAGGAAUACCAGUGGCGAAGGCGGCCUUCUGGACUGACACUGACGCUGAGGUGCGAAAGCGUGGGUAGCAAACAGGAUUAGAUACCCGUGUAGUC
rnacentral:rRNA from 1 species